rnacentral:tRNA from 1 species
GCCGGGUUAGCUCAGUUGGUUAGAACACGGCGCCAAUAACGCCAAAUUCGCAGGUUCAGUCCCUGCUCACUGCA